rnacentral:lncRNA from 1 species
UUUGAGUUGUUUUGGUAAGUUUCCCGUCUCUAGGGUUUAAAUCGUGAUGGACGGCCACUUGGUCAGCAUCGCAGUCACGCCAAGACGCGGUCCGUGCUUCCCCCGUCCCCUCUUCCUUGAAUCUUGAAAUUAAAACCGCGUCGCGGGGUUUCGAAUAAUCGCAUUUCCUCCCUCUUGCCUCUCUCCUCUCCUCUCUCUGCUGUUCAUACCAACAAUUGAGGAAUUUGUGUCCUCCACUUUCUCUCUCUAAAAAUAUUGCACAUCUCUAUCAAAAUUCAAAAUUUUCUCAUACCAGGUUGCAUCUGGUCAGAAUAAAUAAAAUUGUGUUUCCUCCCACUUUCCUCUCUCUCUCUCUCNN